GACGAACGCUGGCGGCGCGCUUAACACAUGCAAGUCGAACGGAAAGGCCUGCUUUCCCUUGUGGAUUGCGGGUACUCGAGUGGCGAACGGGUGAGUAACACGUGAGUGAUCUGCCCCCAACUUGGGUAUAAGCCUGGGAAACUGGGUCUAAUUCCCGAUAGGACUGCAGGGUGGUUCCUGUGGUGGACAACGAUUUUCUAGUGGUUGGGGAUGAGCUCGCGGCCUAUCAGCUUGUUGGUGGGGUAAUGGCCUACCAAGGCGGCGACGGGUAGCCGGCCUGAGAGGGGGGACGGUGACAUUGGGACAGAGACACGGCCCAGACUCCGACGGGAGGCAGCAGUGGGGAAUAUUGGACAAUGAGCGGAAGCCUGAUGCAGCGACGCCGCGUGGAGGAUGACGGCCUUCGGGUUGUAAACUCCUUGCGAGCGAGAGGAAGAAACCUGGAUGGAAGGGUGGUGACGGUAGUGGUAGAAGAAGCACCGGCUAACUACGUG
rnacentral:rRNA from 1 species